rnacentral:tRNA from 1 species
GGUCCCAUGGUGUAAUGGUUAGCACUUUGAACUCUGAAUCCAGCGAUCCGAGUUCAAAUCUCGGUGGGACCU